GGCGGCGUACCCAAGUGGUCCAAGGGAACGGUUUGCAAAACCGUCAUUCGCGGGUUCGAAUCCCGCCGCCGCCU
rnacentral:tRNA from 1 species